AAGAUUGCAAAACAUAGGAAAGUAUUGUGCAAUGUACUGUAUGGAGAACAUUCAAUUUCAAGGCUGUUACUAGCUGUUGUAAACUCUCAAAAGGCUUUAUGUUACUUUGUUUGAGAAACAGACAAUUGAGAAACAGUCUUUCUAGAGACACUGAGGGAUCCAGUCACUGGAAAUGUGGACGUAACCUCAGUGGCCUCUGUAGGCUUCUAUAGCAUGUUGCUGGGUCAGGGGUUUGAACAAUGGAGCUAGGAAUUCUUUAGGCUUGGUCAGGUAUAAAAGAAAGGGUUAAACCAGGUAGGAAUCAGUUCAAGAGCAGCAACCAGCAGCACAGUGAGCAAAGAUGUCCACCAGCAUGAACAUGGGCAGGGUCGUCUUCUACGAGGACAGGAACUUCCAGGGUCGUUCCUAUGAGUGCAGCAGCGACUGCGCUGACAUGUCCUCCUACCUUGUAUAAAAUGUAUGAAUAAGGAUAAAGCUAUUUGGAAUAUGUUGAGAUGCUAUGUACUUAUGUUAAUGUGAGAGAAUUGUUUGUCUGUUCAAAGCUUAACUAAGUCAUCGGCACGCCCCCAGGGACACAGACAUGACAAGGCGUCAUGUGACAGCCUUUUCUACGUUCAGUAUAUAAGCCCCACCCAGAAUGUCUUUCUUCAGACCAGCUUACCUCAGAAGAGAGAGCCAAGGUUUGACCAUGCAUUCCUCUACCGAACUUUAACCAUACCACGCGGUUAAUCUUUUAGACUAUCGAUACCGACAGAAUAAUAACAAGUCUUUGAUAUUAAUUACUAGUCUGCAGCUAGAAAUUCGGUGUCAUUGAACACGAAGACCGACGAAACAACCAUUCUAUAACAACAUUAAUGAAUGUCGCUUUGAAAGAUCCAUUCUAACCGAGAGAGAGAGAGAGGGAACUCUCCAACAGGACGAACCUUUCCAACAAAGAUCACGACGACACACUGAGCGUAAAUAUAUAUAUUGAUUGCAAUUGUUUCCGAAUGAGUGAGCGUUCAUGUGCAAAGGAUUAGCAUAUCAAUUGUUAAUAUUUAUCAACUCUGUAGGGUCUUCUCAGCUGAGCCCCCACUACUCUUUUGUUUAACAAGCCGCCAUGCCGGUUUAGCCCACUAGGGCACAUUCCUCCACCAUUUCUUUGUAACGAUACCUACUGUUUUGUAUGCUUUCUGUGAAUUACUUAGUUUAGUAAAUAAAUGAUUUUAAGACAAUUGAUGUAUGGAUGACUUAGUGAAGACUGGGUUCGUGCAGAUAACAACAAUUUACGACGUUUGGAAUGAGACUGACGCGAGGUAAUAAUACAUCAUUAAUCAGAAGAUAAUC
rnacentral:lncRNA from 8 species